rnacentral:rRNA from 1 species
GACGUAGGUGGCGAACGUUGUCCGGAAUUAUUGGGCGUAAAGCGCGCGCAGGCGGUCCUUUAAGUCUGAUGUGAAAGCCCACGGCUCAACCGUGGAGGGUCAUUGGAAACUGGGGGACUUGAGUGCAGAAGAGGAAAGCGGAAUUCCACGUGUAGCGGUGAAAUGCGUAGAGAUGUGGAGGAACACCAGUGGCGAAGGCGGCUUUCUGGUCUGUAACUGACGCUGAGGCGCGAAAGCGUGGGGAGCAAACAGG